rnacentral:rRNA from 1 species
GUGAGGAAUAUUGGUCAAUGGGCGGGAGCCUGAACCAGCCAAGUCGCGUGAAGGAAGAAGGAUCUAUGGUUCGUAAACUUCUUUUGCAGGGGAAUAAAGUGCAGGACGUGUCCUGUUUUGUAUGUACCCUGAGAAUAAGGAUCGGCUAACUCCGUGCCAGCAGCCGCGGUAAUACGGAGGAUCCGAGCGUUAUCCGGAUUUAUUGGGUUUAAAGGGUGCGUAGGUGGUUUGAUAAGUCAGAGGUGAAAGUUUGCAGCUUAACUGUAAAAAUGCCGUUGAAACUGUCGGACUUGAGUGUAAAUGAGGUAGGCGGAAUGCGUGGUGUAGCGGUGAAAUGCAUAGAUAUCACGCAGAACUCCGAUUGCGAAGGCAGCUUACUAAGCUACAACUGACACUGAAGCACGAAAGCGUGGGGAUCAAACAGGAUUAGAAACCCUAGUAGUCC